AAGCAUUCUAAAGGGGAAGGACCAUUUCAACAAAUGUUCCUCCAGACCUUCCUUAUUCUUCAUAAUGGAAUCCUGGGCUUUCCACAUGACAUAUUCUACUUAUCUGCUGGGAUUAGUAGGGCUGAUUACUCAGGUCUAGAAGGGAGAAUAGUAUCUGCUAGGGCUGGAUAGAGCAGAGUGGUGAAAGAGAUCAGAUGUGUUUAUGCAAAUGAACAAAAACAGACUUGGAAAACCAGUGGAAUGAUAAUAACCUCUGCCUUUGAAGUGCUCUUAUAGCAGUCUUACUGAACUUAUCAUGAAAGGAGAGACACUCUUCCACUUGAAUGUUCUUUCCUAUGGUCUAGUGCUGGUCAAUACACUGGACCUUGGCUUGCUGGGUGUAAUGGAGUUCCUUUGUGCAGACUGUCAUUUGUACAGACAUUUACCUGGCUACCAGAAUAUUUAUGUUACCCAAGGGCACAAGAAAAUAGACAUAUCAAAGAGGACAGGGCAUAAUUAACAUAAAAGACCAGAUACUUUGAGUGAGGAAGUGUGGAUCUGAGUUACUCAGUAGAAGGUGAACCAGUUGGAUUCUCUGUUGGAGGCAGGAUAGGUAAAGCAAAUAACCUUUGGCUACUUAGUUGAUAUGUUCAAUUUGAUCCAGCAGUUUAGGAAUGGCAAGUGGAGGAUAGAUGAAACUUAAAACUGGAGUACACGUACUUCUCAGAGAGGACAUCUUGUGGAUCCUUUGACAGAAAGGUUAAGCGUCUGCCUUUGGCUCAGGUUGUGAUCCCAGGGUCCUGGGAUCGAGUCCUGCAUGGGGUUCCCUGCUCCAUGGGGAGCCUGCUUCUCCCUCUGUCUCUACCUCUCUCUCUCCCCCCGUCUCUUUAAUGAAUAAAUAUUAAAAAAAAAAAAAAAGAAUAGCUAUUGAGAAUUUUAGCCAUACUUAGACUGUCAAAGUAAGGUGAGACAGAAGUACAGAAGUUCUGUCCUUGGCUAUUAAUUGAAUUUCACCAUUUGGUUGAUAGCACGGAUUACUCACCAUAGAUUAUUUAAAGUCUACAGCUCCUCACUUAACAGGAAGGUGUGAGAUGUCAGGAUGUUUCAGGAAACCAAGUGCACCAUCUACAAGAAGAAAAUUAUAGCUCCAAGGAAAGGUGAGCCCUGUCUUCAAGUCAUGAAGGAUUUUUGGAUGAAACAUCUGCAGAGGACCUGGAAGAUUCACUGGGUAAGCCGGAGGGACAGCUCUAGGAAUAACUGAAGUGGAUGAUGCCACCUUUCUUAGUGUACAGUAUGGGGAAAAUGGUACUGUUCUCCUUAUAUACCAUUCCUAAGGCCAUGCCUUGUGCAUGUACUCUUCAUUAGUUGACAUUCACUGGUUUGUGGGAUUUAAGAUGAAGAUGAGCCUUCAAAAAUUAGUUUAUGAUUGACUGUUAAAGAUUAGAAUUUGUUCUUAGUAGAGUCCAUAAAAAUAUGACCAAUUACACAUUUUUUCGUGAUUAAAAUAUUUUAAAAAGUGUAAUAACUUUUAGUUUAGAAAACAUUAAUAUAAUUUCAGUAAUUUGGCUUCCUUUGAACUAGCCUAGAAGAAUCUUUUGGUUAAAAAUUAUAAAUACUAAAAAUAUAAAGUUAAUAAGAAUGUUAUACACUUUGGGUUAAAUCACUAAAACAGUACAAAUAGAAUGUGUUUCUUUUAAGCCAGAUAAAAAGAAAUGUUAAAACUCAAUCCAACAUAAGACAGGAAGGAGAAAAAAGGGCAAAGAAAAAUGAAAAAUAUGGUAAAAGAAAACCUAUAAUAAGACAUAGAAAUAAGUAUAAUUACAAAUAUUUCAGAAUUGUAAUAAACAUAGAAUGAACCUUCUGUCAAAAGACAGCAAUGUUUAUGCUUAGUUUUUUAAUGCUUAAAUAGUUAUAUGUACUUAGAAGGUAUAUACUUAGAAAAUGAGACAUGAAGAAACAACAGGCAUAUAAAUAAAUGAAAAGAAAGCUGGUAUUGUAAUAUUAGUAGACAGUCUAUAUUGAGGGAAAACCAUUACUAAAGAUAAAGCGAGACUUAAUAUAAAAGUAGUAAUGCACCAACAGGUUAUAACACUUAGGAACUUGUAUGAUCUAACAACAUAUUCUCAAAAGGUAAAAGGGUAAAAUUGAAAAUAACAAGAAAUGUUCAAGUCUGCAAAAAAAUGAAAUCGCCAUUCAUGAGUUCAGAGAAACCAGGCAAUGAGAAAGUAAAAACUUACACUAGAUGUUAGUACUUCAGUCUUUACUGUUCACUACCAAGUGUAUCAUUGAUUACUGUUAAGUGUAGAAAAAAAUAAAAAUCUUAUCGCAGGUAUGGUUUUAUGACUCUAAAACUUUGACUUUUUCCAAAUAUGCCUCUGUGAAAAUAACGUGCUUUUUAAAUAGAAAUGCCAGCAAAUAUACCUAUUCAGUAAAUCUUCUCUCUUUGGAUUAUUAAAAGGGGAGAAUCCCAUGAUCAUUCUGCCAGAUUUUUUCAUUGUUCAGUAAUAAAGGUGAAGGGAGAAAACCAGUGGUUCUAUGUUCCUUGAUUGUGUUCUCUCAUCUUUUCCCAUCAACUCUGAAGUAUUUUUCUUUUUCUCCUUAGCUGAUGAGAAGUUGGGGCACAGAGAGAUUAAGUAAUUUGGCUAAGGUUAUAGCUUGUAAAAUAGAAGAGCCUAGACUCAGACUUGUCUUGAUGCCAGAGCUGCAGCACUAACACCACAAUCAAUCUCACUGAGUAUACUAAGGGCACUGUAUUAUGGGGUUAGAGGAAGCAAUAUAAUCAGAACCAAAGAUCUGAAGACCUAAAGUGUAAGUAAGAACCCUUAAUUGAAAUAGAGCAAUGAGUGUUUCAAAAUGAGGAAUUAUUCUUGAUCGCUAGAUUAUGAAAUAGAUGAGUGCCAAAACAGAAAUUUAGAAAAAAUACACCUUUAUCAUGAAAUAUGUUAUAUUUCUCAGUUGCUUUCAGUAGUUUCCUUUAUAUCCUAAGCCUACUUAUGUGUGCUGGUAUAAAUUGUUAAAAUUUUAAUAACUCUAUAGUCUCUCUUUCUUUUUCCUUAAGAUUACUUUCUUAUUUCAGAACACUGUUCCAAAUUCUUGAAUCCAACAAUUCUCCUCUAAAGGGAAGUAUACUAUCGUAAAUUUCUGAAUCUAAGUAUUUUGAAAAUACUAUUUUACUAAUAAUGUAUCCUGAUUUAAUGAUGAAUAUAUCAUUCCUGCAUAUAGUAAAAACCUGGAGCAAAGAUUAGAAGAUCGAGAACUUUCUGACUUCUACAAAGAGCAGAAGUGAAAGCAGAACUUCGUAUGAUUGCUAAGAUGUCAGAGGACCUUGCGCAUAGUUUAGAGCCACAUUUGAAAAUGAAACCAGAGAUGACUGCAUGAUAACUACACAAUCCUGACAGGUCAGAAAGUAGGUAUCAAGAUAACCGUAUAUAGAAAACUGAAGAAGGAUUCUAUCAAGUGGAAAGGCCAAAAAUGACAAUGUGUUUUGAAUGACACUUGAUUUCUGAGACUAAUCAUGAGAAUGCAGGAAAUAUUAAAAACUUUAUGAAAUACAUAAAGCAAAGAGACAAAAACACAUAUAGCAGGUCCAACAAAUAGCAAUAACUGUAGCUGGCUAACCAGAGUGGUACUCAACCUGGAAGGACAGAGCUGAUAGUAUAUUUUUGGGAAUUUAUGCACAGGAAUGAAAACACUGAAGAGAGUUGAAAGAAACAGCACCAAUUCUGACGAUUAUGCCCAUCAUUUGGAAAAUUUUGCUCCUUUCCCCAGAGUCUUUAGAGAUUUCAGAAUACAUUUUAGUCAAAGUAUAGAUCUAGGGGCCAGCAAUUUAUUAUUUUAACAAUAGGGCAUGUUGAAGCAUGAUAUCAAGUUGGAUUGGAUGUCCCUGUAAAGUCUUUUCUAGUCUUUUGAUUCUAUAUUUUAAUACUAUCUAAGCACUACUUCUGGAAAGAUAUAAAAAUUUUUUAUUCAUUCAUUAUUUUAGUUAAAUUCAAUUCAUUAUUUUAGUUAAAUAUAGCAUAAAUCCAUAAAACACUCCCUACACCUAGGAGUUAUGUAUAAAUUUGUUUGAAAAUAUUGUACUGCCAUUAUUGGCAGAAAUGUAAAAGCAGUUUUAGAAACGAAAUCAUACCUCUUUUUCCUAAGCUACCUUCUGAAAUCAGCUGACAGGAAAGGAAGUUAAGGUCUUAGUUUUCCAAGAUCCUUUAUCUUUUGACAUGCUACCAUCUUUCUAUCUUGAUUGUAUUAGAGAUUUUGGGAAAACAGAUUGCAAAGUUACUACUUUCUGAUUGGUACAUGUACUAUUAUAUUAUCCAUUUCACUAACACAGUGAAUUUCAGAUAUCUUCAGAUUGGCCUUUCAAAAUGGGAACUAGGUAAAUAAAAACUUUUCAAAUUUAUUUAUAGACGAUAUACUACAAAAAAGAAAAAAUAAAAUCGGCUUUACUUACUUUUUGUAAGAAUUUUUACCCUUUCA